CAGUAGAUGCUUCAUCCUCUAAAUUAUUCACACUGCAGAAGCUUGUCCAUUUUGACCUAGAUUGGCAGUUUGGACCUUGUACAGGUAUCACACGGAUGGAGCGAUGGCAGAGAGCACAGGCUCUGGGGCUAAUGCCACCACAAGACAUCAAACAGAUCCUCCUGGCGCACAGUGCAGAUCCUCUGUACCAGCACAACCUUUGGAAUUCGUAUGCCAUCUAAGGAGAGCAGAGUGGAGGUGAUAGCCAAGACUGGAUGAAUGCCAGAGAUGGACAAGAUGGCUCAGAGAUUGGGCUUUACGGGAUACCAAUUCCUUGUUUAGUAUUGUUCUCAGUUUAAGAAGAUGAAAGUUAAGUCCACAUAUAGUGGCAUU